rnacentral:rRNA from 1 species
AUUGAACGCUGGCGGCAGGCUUAACACAUGCAAGUCGAGCGAGCGGCGGACGGGUGAGUAAUGUCUGGGAAACUGCCUGAUGGCGGGGGAUAACUACUGGAAACGGUAGCUAAUACCGCAUACCAUCAGAUGGGCCCAGAUGGGAUUAGCUAGUAGGUGGGGUAAUGGCUCACCUAGGCGACGAUCCCUAGCUGGUCUGAGAGGAUGACCGGCACAAUUGGACCUGAGCCACGGUCCAGAUCCCUACGGGAGGAAGCAGUGGGGAAUAUUGAACAAUGGGCGAAAGCCGGAUGCAGCCAUGCCGGGGGUGUGAAGAAGGCCUUCGGGUUGUAAAGCACUUUCAGCGAGGAGGCGUUACUCGAAGAAGAAGCACCGGCUAACUCCGUGCCAGCAGCCGCGGUAUUC